GACACGCUGGCGGCGUGCUUAACACAUGCAAGUCGAGCGGUAAGGCCCCUUCGGGGGUACACGAGCGGCGAACGGGUGAGUAACACGUGAGCAAUCUGCCCUUCACUUUGGGAUAACUCUGGGAAACGAGAGCUAAUACCGAAUACGACCACUUCAGGCAUCUGAUGGUGGUGGAAAGUUCCGGCGGUGAAGGAUGAGCUCGCGGCCUAUCAGCUAGUUGGUGGAGUAACGGCCCACCAAGGCUUCGACGGGUAGCCGGCCUGAGAGGGUGACCGGCCACACUGGGACUGAGACACGGCCCAGACUCCUACGGGAGGCAGCAGUGGGGAAUAUUGGACAAUGGGCGAAAGCCUGAUCCAGCAACGCCGCGUGAGGGAUGACGGCCUUCGGGUUGUAAACCUCUUUCAGUAGGGACGAAGCGCAAGUGACGGUACCUACAGAAGAAGCACCGGCCAACUACGUG
rnacentral:rRNA from 1 species